rnacentral:rRNA from 1 species
CAGGCCUAACACAUGCAAGUCGAACGGUAACAGGUCUUCGGACGCUGACGAGUGGCGAACGGGUGAGUAAUACAUCGGAACGUGCCCAGUCGUGGGGGAUAACUACUCGAAAGAGUAGCUAAUACCGCAUACGAUCUGAGGAUGAAAGCGGGGGACCUUCGGGCCUCGCGCGAUUGGAGCGGCCGAUGGCAGAUUAGGUAGUUGGUGGGAUAAAAGCUUACCAAGCCGACGAUCUGUAGCUGGUCUGAGAGGACGACCAGCCACACUGGGACUGAGACACGGCCCAGACUCCUACGGGAGGCAGCAGUGGGGAAUUUUGGACAAUGGGCGAAAGCCUGAUCCAGCAAUGCCGCGUGCAGGAUGAAGGCCUUCGGGUUGUAAACUGCUUUUGUACGGAACGAAAAAGCUUCUCCUAAUACGAGAGGCCCAUGACGGUACCGUAAGAAUAAGCACCGGCUAACUACGUGCCAGCAGCCGCGGUAAUACGUAGGGUGCGAGCGUUAAUCGGAAUUACUGGGCGUAAAGCGUGCGCAGGCGGUUAUGUAAGACAGAUGUGAAAUCCCCGGGCUCAACCUGGGAACUGCAUUUGUGACUGUAUGGCUAGAGUACGGUAGAGGGGGAUGGAAUUCCGCGUGUAGCAGUGAAAUGC